UUUCAGAGUUAUUUAGCAAGUUUUGAUUUGUUUUACUUUAGUUUUUAUAAAUAAAUCAAUGGAUGAGCAUGUAAGAGCUAUUAGGUGUACACGACCUUGAAACAUGUUAAAUCACUUAAGAUAUAACAAGUGAUUUUUUGUGGUAUACUCAUCGUGAACGUUCAAUGAGGAGAAAUGAGACAAGGAAUUAAGAAAAGUUGAAGGUUCAACUACUAGUUGUUGUGUGUUGUAUGCUAUGAGAUAUGCGUCGCACAACUGUGAAGAAAUUGAAAGUGUUUUACCACUACCUCAAUUGCUCACACGCUAGGAGUUGCGCAUUACAUAAGUCAAAUACUAGAAGUAUGGAUUCUGAAUAUAAAUGAUUACAAUUGUUUGGUCAUUGGACUUUAUUGACCGGCCCAAAGGAAACAACAAAUUGCCUAAGAAAUAAGCAGAACCAACCCUAGGCAUAGGCCUAGGGCUAAACCCUAAAGUGUUGGGUUGGGGGUGUGAAAUGAAAUGUUGUUGGGUUGUAGAAAAGGGUGAAACGAUCAUUGAAUUUAUUAAGCUUUGUCGGGUUUGGUUCGUCCUGUCUAAUUUUUUUUUUGUUAUUCUUUUUUAUAAUAAUAUAUGACAAGAUGCAUUUGUCACAGUGUUUUGGAGUUUCAACAUAGUUAAGAUUUCAAAACAUCGCAUUAUGGUGACCUCCAUGAUUAAUGCAUAUCUCAUUCAGCGUUUAUAUAAAAAAAAAAUUAU
rnacentral:lncRNA from 1 species